rnacentral:rRNA from 1 species
UGCAUAUCAAUAAGCGGAGGAAAAGAAACCAACAGGGAUUGCCUUAGUAACGGCGAGUGAAGCGGCAAAAGCUCAAAUUUGAAAUCUGGCACCUUCGGUGUCCGAGUUGUAAUUUGAAGAAGGUAACUUUGGAGUUGGCUCUUGUCUAUGUUCCUUGGAACAGGACGUCACAGAGGGUGAGAAUCCCGUGCGAUGAGAUGCCCAAUUCUAUGUAAAGUGCUUUCGAAGAGUCGAGUUGUUUGGGAAUGCAGCUCUAAGUGGGUGGUAAAUUCCAUCUAAAGCUAAAUAUUGGCGAGAGACCGAUAGCGAACAAGUACAGUGAUGGAAAGAUGAAAAGAACUUUGAAAAGAGAGUGAAAAAGUACGUGAAAUUGUUGAAAGGGAAGGGCUUGAGAUCAGACUUGGUAUUUUGCGAUCCUUUCCUUCUUGGUUGGGUUCCUCGCAGCUUACUGGGCCAGCAUCGGUUUGGAUGGUAGGAUAAUGACUAAGGAAUGUGGCUCUACUUCGGUGGAGUGUUAUAGCCUUGGUUGAUACUGCCUGUCUAGACCGAGGACUGCGUCUUUUGACUAGGAUGUUGGCAUAAUGAUCUUAAGCCACCCGUCUUUGA